ACGCUCGACACCUACGGGGGCAGCAGUUGGGAAUAUUGGACAAUGGAGGAAACUCUGAUCCAGUGACGCCGCGUGAAGGAAGAAGGUCUUCGGAUUGUAAACUUAUUUUGUCAGGGAAGAAAAAUGACUGUACCUGAAGAAAAAGCACCGGCUAACUACGUGCCAGCAGCCGUGGUAAUCUGAGGCGGGCUGGCAAGGC
rnacentral:rRNA from 1 species